GCUGACUCACUUUGCACCCAACUGCAGUCCCAAGUGGGUGCUUUUUCUGUCUGCCACAGAAACAUUCUGGGAUUCUAUGACUACCUUGCCUGUCAAGGGUGAUACAGCUAUCUGGGCAUUCAGGA